rnacentral:rRNA from 1 species
AUUGAACGCUGGCGGCAGGCCUAACACAUGCAAGUCGAAUGGUAACAGGAAACAGCUUGCUGUUUCGCUGACGAGUGGCGGACGGGUGAGUAAUGUCUGGGAAACUGCCUGAUGGAGGGGGAUAACUACUGGAAACGGUAGCUAAUACCGUAUAACGUCGCAAGACCAAAGAGGGGGACCUUCGGGCCUCUUGCCAUCAGAUGUGCCCAGAUGGGAUUAGCUAGUAGGUGGGGUAACGGCUCACCUAGGCGACGAUCCCUAGCUGGUCUGAGAGGAUGACCAGCCACACUGGAACUGAGACACGGUCCAGACUCCUACGGGAGGCAGCAGUGGGGAAUAUUGCACAAUGGGCGCAAGCCUGAUGCAGCCAUGCCGCGUGUAUGAAGAAGGCCUUCGGGUUGUAAAGUACUUUCAGCGGGGAGGAAGGGAGUAAAGUUAAUACCUUUGCUCAUUGACGUUACCCGCAGAAGAAGCACCGGCUAACUCCGUG